AGCUGGAACUUACAGGUACAUUCAUAAGCCUCCAGACCUAAAGUGACCUAAAGACCAGGAGAUGUGUUCCUCUCAGAAAGCAUAUCCAUCAGAAAGCAUACAGGAAGCAUACCCAUCAGAAAUAUACCCACCAGAAAGCAUACCCAUCAGAAAGCAUACCCAUCAGAAAGUAUACCCACCAGAAAGCAUACCCAUCAGAAAGCAUACGCAUCAGAAAGCAUACCCACCAGAAAGCAUAC